rnacentral:rRNA from 1 species
CGUUCUGUAAGCCUGUGAAGGUGUGUCGUGAGGCAUGCUGGAGGUAUCAGAAGUGCGAAUGCUGACAUAAGUAACGAUAAAGCGGGUGAAAAGCCCGCUCGCCGGAAGACCAAGGGUUCCUGUCCAACGUUAAUCGGGGCAGGGUGAGUCGACCCCUAAGGCGAGGCCGAAAGGCGUAGUCGAUGGGAAACGGGUUAAUAUUCCCGUACUUGGUGUUACUGCGAAGGGGGGACGGAGAAGGCUAUGUUGGCCGGGCGACGGUUGUCCCGGUUUAAGCGUGUAGGUGUGUGUUCCAGGUAAAUCCGGUUCACUUUAACACUGAGGCGUGACGACGAGGCACU